rnacentral:rRNA from 1 species
AUUGAACGCUGGCGGCAGGCCUAACACAUGCAAGUCGAACGAGUGGCGGACGGGUGAGUAAUGUCUGGGAAACUGCCCGAUGGAGGGGGAUAACUACUGGAAACGGUAGCUAAUACCGCAUACCAUCGGAUGUGCCCAGAUGGGAUUAGCUUGUAGGUGAGGUAACGGCUCACAUAGGCGACGAUCCCUAGCUGGUCUGAUAGGAUGACCAGCCACACUGUAACUGAGACACGGUCGAGACGCCGACGGGAGCCAGCAUGGGGGAAUAUUGCACAAUGGGCGCAAGCCUGAUGCACCCAUGCCGCGUGUAUGAAGAAGGCCUGCGUGUUGUAAAGUACUUUCAGCGGGGAGGCGGGACCCGCAGAAGAAGCACAGGCUAACUCCGUGCCAGAAGCCGCGGGAAUUC